CCUUGAGAGUCCUGAAGGAACGUUGAAGACGACGACGUUGAUAGGUCGGGUGUGUAAGCGUAGCGAUACGUUGAGCUAACCGAUACUAAUGAACCGUGAGGCUUAACCUU
rnacentral:rRNA from 1 species